UACGUAGGUGGCAAGCGUUGUCCGGAUUUACUGGGCGUAAAGAGCGCGCAGGCGGUCGUUCAAGUCGCGUGUGAAAGCCCCCGGCUCAACUGGGGAGGGUCACGCGAUACUGAUCGACUGGAAGGCAGGAGAGGGUAGUGGAAUUCCCGGUGUAGUGGUGAAAUGCGUAGAGAUCAGGAAGAACACCGGUGGCGAAGGCGCUCUGCUAGGCCGUAACUGACACUGAGGGACGAAAGCUAGGGGAGCGAAUGGG
rnacentral:rRNA from 1 species